AUUGAACGCUGGCGGCAUGCUUUACACAUGCAAGUCGAACGAGUGGCGCAAGGGUGAGUAAUACAUCGGAACGUGUCCUCUCGUGGGGGAUAACUGAUCGAAAGAUAAGCUAAUAACGCAUCCGAUUGGAGCGGCCGGUGCCCGAUUCGCUAGUUGGUGAGGUACAGGCUAACAAAGGCGACGAGCGGUAGCUGGUCUGAGAGGACGACCCGCCACACUGGUACUGAGACACGGCCCAGACUCCUACGGGAGGCAGCAGGGGGGAAUGUUGGACAAUGGGGGCAACCCUGAUCCAGCCAUGCCGCGUGCAGGAUGAAGUUCUUCGGAUUUUAAACUGCUUUUGUCAGGGAAGCGGUACCUGAAGAAUAAGCACCGGCUAACUACGUGCCAGCAGCCGCGGUAAUAC
rnacentral:rRNA from 1 species